rnacentral:rRNA from 1 species
CCUGGUUGAUCUUACUAGUAGUCAUAUGCUUGUCUCAAAGAUUAAGCCAUGCAUGUGUAUGUGUGAACUAAUUCAGAUUGUAAAAUUAUGAAUGGCUCAUUAAAUUAGUUAUAGUUUGUUUAAUGGUAUCUACUACUUAGAUAACUAUAAUAAUUCUAGAGCUAAUACAUGCAACAAACCCUAACUUCAAAAAAGAAUGCACUUAUUAGAUAAAAGGUCGACAUGGGCUUUGCCUAUUGCUCUGAUGAUUCAUGAUAACUUGAUGGAUCGCAUGACUUUUGUGUCAGUGAUGCAUCACUCAAAAUUUGGCCUUAUCAUCUUUUGAUGGUAGGAUAGUGGCCUACGAUGGUGAUGAUGAGUGACGGGUGAUGGAGAAUUACAAUUCAAUUCUAGAGAGGGAGCCUGAGAAAUGGCUACCACAUCCAAGGUAGGCAACAUGUGUGCAAAUUACCCAAUAUUGACACAGAGAGGUAGUGACAAUAAAUAAUACCAAACUCUAUGAGUAUGGUAAUUGGAAUGAGUACAAUCAAAAUCCUUUAAUGAGGAUCCAUUGGAAGGUAAGUCUAGUGCCAACAAUCGCAAUAAUUCUAGCUCCAAUAAUGUAUAUUUAAGUUGUUAUAGUUAAAAAGCUCGUAGUUGAAAUUAAGGUUGGAUCAUCUGGUCUAUUUUAUGGUGAGCACUGGUCUUCUUAUCCUUACUACUGGUGAUGCACUUCUAGCCUUAAGUAGCUAAGUCAUUCCUGCAAUGUUGUCACUUUGAAAAAUUAGAGUGCUUAAAGCAUGCCUACACUUGUAUACAAUAGCAUGGGAUAACAUCAUAGGAUGUCGAUCCUAUUCUAUUGGCCUUCGGGAUCAAAGUAAUAAUUAAAAAGGGAUAAUCAGGGGCAUUCAUAUUUCAUAGUCAGAGGUGAAAUUCCUAGAUUUAUGAAAGAUGAACAACUGUAAAAACAUUUGCCAAAGAUGUUUUGAUUAAUCAAGAAUGAAAGUUAGAGGCUCAAAAACAAUCAAAUACUAUCCUAGUCUUAACCAUAAAUGAUGUCGACCAAAAAUUGGUGGAUAUUACUUUUAGGACUCCGUCAACACCUUAUGAGAAGUCAAAGUAUUUAGAUUACAAAGGGAGUAUGGUCAUAAGGCUAAAACUUAAAGGAAUUGACAAAUGGGCACCACCAAGAUGGAGCUUGUAGCUCAAUUUGGCUAACAUGGGGAAACUUACUAGUUCUAAACAUAGUAAGGAUUGACAGACUGAAAGAUUUUUCUUGAUUCUAUGGGUAGUGGUACAUGGCCAUUCUUAGUUGGUGAAGCAAUUUGUCUAGUUAAUUUUGUUAAUGAAUGAGACCUUAGCCAACUAACUCGCUACGUAAAGGUGAUCCUUCAUGGCUAACUUUUUAAAGGUACUAUGGUCGCUUAGGCCAAGGAAGUUUAAGGCAAUAACAAGUUUGUAAUGCCCUUAGAUGUUCUGGGCUACAACCAUGCUACAUUGAUGUAUUCAACGAGUCUAUCACUUUGGCCAAUAAGCCUAGGUAAUCUUUGAAAUUUCAUCAUAAUGGGGAUAGAUCAUUGCAAUUAUUGGUCUCCAAUAUGGAAAUCCCAGUAAGCACAAGUCAUUAGCUGGCAUUGACUAUGUCCUUGCCCUUUGUAUACAUCGCUCGUCACUCUUAUCAAUUGAACGAUUUGGUGAAGUGUUUAGAUUGUAGCAAUAUGGAUAGUUCACUACCUGUGAUGUCACAAGAAGUCCAUUAAACUUUAUUAUUUAGAGGAAGGAGAAGUCAUAACAAGGUUUCUGUAGGUGAACCUGGGUAAG